GGUGAGAUGGCCGAGCGGUCUAAGGCGCCAGCUUAAGGUGUUACCCGUCAGGGUGUGAUUCUUGAGCGCUGGUCCGAAAGGGCGUGGGUUCAAAUCCCACUCUCAUCA